GAAGUUUAUUGACUUUAAUAAAAAGUGAUUUAAUCUGUUCUUAUCAGCUUAAUAUCUGAUACGAUUCUCAUUGAGAAUCCAGUAUAUUAAUCUGAUUUUUGGAAAUUGGUCGAGUCCCGGAGCUUGCUCCGGUUCGACCACGAGUUGCCCUGUCAUUGCAGUACAGGCGGGUGCAGCUCAAUAAUA